GGCCAGACUCCUACGGGAGGCAGCAGUGAGGAAUAUUGGUCAAUGGGCUUACGCCUGAACCAGCCAAGUCGCGUGAGGGAAGACUGCCCUAUGGGUUGUAAACCUCUUUUGUCAGGGAGCAAUUGGCGCUACGUGUAGCGUUAUCGAGAGUACCUGAAGAAAAAGCAUCGGCUAACUCCGUGCCAGCAGCCGCGGUAAUACGGAGGAUGCGAGCGUUAUCCGGAUUUAUUGGGUUUAAAGGGUGCGUAGGCGGACGCUUAAGUCAGCGGUAAAAUUGCGGGGCUCAACCUCGUCGAGCCGUUGAAACUGAUGUUCUUGAGUGGGCGAGAAGUAUGCGGAAUGCGUGGUGUAGCGGUGAAAUGCAUAGAUAUCACGCAGAACUCCGAUUGCGAAGGCAGCAUACCGGCGCCCAACUGACGCUGAAGCACGAAAGCGUGGGUAUCGAACAGGAUUAGAUACCCUGGUA
rnacentral:rRNA from 1 species